CGUCAGUUCAACAGGAUGCAAGGUCUAUGCAGGAAACAAGCGUCCUAAAAUACAUCAACAUCCAGUGUCCUGAUGGUCUACCAGAAGAAAACUCUUCUCAAGGUACUUUUGGCCACACUAGAGGCAAAAGUACGGAGGCUGCGUACUGAAAGUCUGUUUUUGCAGUAUUGGCAGCCUGUUUGCAAACAGAGACAGGAUCCCUAGGCCAAACAGUAAGGCAACUCUUGGUUUUCG
rnacentral:lncRNA from 1 species